GACGAACGCUGGCGGCGUGCUUAACACAUGCAAGUCGAACGGAAAGGCCCUGCUUUUGUGGGGUGCUCGAGUGGCGAACGGGUGAGUAACACGUGAGUAACCUGCCCUUGACUUUGGGAUAACUUCAGGAAACUGGGGCUAAUACCGGAUAGGAGCUCCUGCUGCAUGGUGGGGGUUGGAAAGUUUCGGCGGUUGGGGAUGGACUCGCGGCUUAUCAGCUUGUUGGUGGGGUAGUGGCUUACCAAGGCUGUGACGGGUAGCCGGCCUGAGAGCGUGACCGGCCACAUUGGGACUGCGAUACGGCCCAGACUCCUACGGUAGGCAGCAGUGGGGAAUAUUGCACAAUGGGCGGAAGCCUGAUGCAGUAACGCCGCGUGCGGGAUGACGGCCUUCGGGUUGUAAACCGCUUUCGCCUGUGACGAAGCGUGAGUGACGGUAAUGGGUAAAGAAGCACCGGCUAACUACGUG
rnacentral:rRNA from 1 species